UUCAGGUAGUUUAAAUAAAAAUAUUGGUUUGUGGUGUCAAAGAAGUAAUAAUUAUUCUGAAUU
rnacentral:tRNA from 1 species